CCUANGGGAGGCAGCAGUGGGGAAUAUUGCACAAUGGGCGCAAGCCUGAUGCAGCGACGCCGCGUGGAGGAUGAAGGCUUUCGAGUUGUAAACUCCUGUUAAGUGGGAAGAAAGACUGUUGAUGAAUAAUCAACGGGGAUGACGGUACCACUAGAGAAAGCACCGGCAAACUUCGUGCCAGCAGCCGCGGUAAUACGAAGGGUGCAAGCGUUAUUCGGAGUUACUGGGCGUAAAGAGUAUGUAGGCGGUUAAUUAAGUUAGUUGUUAAAUACCACGGCUCAACCGUGGAAAGGCAGCUGAAACUGAUUGGCUAGAGCGCAGAAGAGAGGAGUGGAAUUCCCGGAGUAGCGGUAAAAUGCGUAGAUCUCGGGAGGAACACCGGUUGCGAAGGCGGCUUCUUGGUCUGUGGCUGACGCUAAAGUACGAAAGCGUGGGGAGCAAACAGGAUUAGAUACCCUGNUANUC
rnacentral:rRNA from 1 species